rnacentral:misc_RNA from 1 species
AGUCGUAACAAGGUUUACGUAGGUGAACCUGCGGAAGGAUCAUUAAUGAGAUCAUGCCCUCGGGUGAGACCUCCAGCCACCUGUUCACCGCUAUCCGUGCCGUUGCCGGUUCCGUCGUGCGAUCGACGGCCAGCACGGACGCAAGCACUUUAAAAAUCCCGUAUUAUCAUUGUCGUCUGAGUACUAUACAAUAGUUAAAAC